GAUGAACGCUAGCGGCAGGCUUAACACAUGCAAGUCGAGGGGCAGCGAGGGUAGCAAUACCUGUCGGCGACCGGCGGAAGGGUGCGUAACGCGUGAGCAACUUGCCCGUAUCAGGGGGAUAAGCGUUGGAAACGACGUCUAAUACCCCAUAACAACAGACCCCGCAUGAGGUUUGUUUGAAAGCUUCGGUGGAUACGGAUAGGCUCGCGAGACAUUAGCUAGUUGGAGUGGUAACGGCACACCAAGGCUACGAUGUCUAGGGGUUCUGAGAGGAAGGUCCCCCACAUUGGAACUGAGACACGGUCCAAACUCC
rnacentral:rRNA from 1 species